rnacentral:rRNA from 1 species
AUUGAACGCUGGCGGUAGGCCUAACACAUGCAAGUCGAGCGGAUGAAGGGAGCUUGCUCCUGGAUUCAGCGGCGGACGGGUGAGUAAUGCCUAGGAAUCUGCCUGGUAGUGGGGGAUAACGUCCGGAAACGGGCGCUAAUACCGCAUACGUCCUGAGGGAGAAAGUGGGGGAUCUUCGGACCUCACGCUAUCAGAUGAGCCUAGGUCGGAUUAGCUAGUUGGUGGGGUAAAGGCCUACCAAGGCGACGAUCCGUAACUGGUCUGAGAGGAUGAUCAGUCACACUGGACCUGAGACACGGUCCAGAAUCCUACGGGAGGCAGCGGUGGGGAAUAUUGGACAGUGGGCGAAAGCCUGCUCCAGCCAUGCCGCGUGUGUGAAGAAGGUCUUCGGAUUGUAAAGCACUUUAAGUUGGGAGGAAGGGCAGUAAGUUAAUACCUUGCUGUUUUGACGUUACCAACAGAAUAAGCACCGGCUAACUUCGUG